GUUUGAUCCUGGCUCAGGACGAACGCUGGCGGCGUGCCUAAUACAUGCAAGUCGAGCGAGCCGAACUAAUUGAUUACCUUCGGGUAUGAAGUUAGGGAAGCGAGCGGCGGAUGGGUGAGUAACACGUGGGUAACCUACCCUAUAGUCUGGGAUACCACUUGGAAACAGGUGCUAAUACCGGAUAAAAGGAGAGAUCACAUGAUUUCUUUUUGAAAGGCGGCGUAAGCUGUCGCUAAAGGAUGGACCCGCGGUGCAUUAGCUAGUUGGUAAGGUAACGGCUUACCAAGGCAACGAUGCAUAGCCGAGUUGAGAGACUGAUCGGCCACAUUGGGACUGAGACACGGCCCAAACUCCUACGGGAGGCAGCAGUAGGGAAUUCUUCCCCCACAAUGGACGCCAAGUUCUGAUGAGCAACGCCGGCGGAGGUGAAGAAGGUUUCGGAUCGUAAAGCUCUGUUGUUGGUGAAGAAAGAAUAGUGAGAGUAACUGCUCAUUAUUUGCCGGUAAUCAACCAGAAAGUCACGGCUAACUACGUGCCAGCAGCCGCGGUAAUACGUAGGUGGCAAGCGUUGUCCGGAUUUAUUGGGCGUAAAGCGAGCGCAGGCGGAAAGAUAAGUCAGAUGUGAAAGCCCUCGGCUUAACCGAGGAAUAGCAUCGGAAACUGUCUUUCUUGAGUGCAGAAGAGGAGAGUGGAACUCCAUGUGUAGCGGUGGAAUGCGUAGAUAUAUGGAAGAACACCAGUGGCGAAGGCGGCUCUCUGGUCUGUAACUGACGCUGAGGCUCGAAAGCAUGGGUAGCGAACAGGAUUAGAUACCCUGGUAGUCCAUGCUGUAAACGAUGAGUGCUAAGUGUUGGGAGGUUUCCGCCUCUCAGUGCUGUAGCUAACGCAUUAAGCACUCCGCCUGGGGAGUACGACCGCAAGGUCAAAACUCAAAGGAAUUGACGGGGGCCCGCACAAGCGGUGGAGCAUGUGGUUUAAUUCGAAGCAACGCGAAGAACCUUACCAGGUCUUGACAUCUAGUGCCAACCUAAGAGAUUAGGCGUUCCCUUCGGGGACACUAAGAACAGGUGGUGCAUGGCUGUUCGUCAGCUCGUGUCGUGAGAUGUUGGGUUAAGUCCCGCAACGAGCGCAACCCUUAUUAUUAGUUGCCAGCAUUAAGUUGGGCACUCUAAUGAGACUGCCGGUGACAAACCGGAGGAAGGUGGGGAUGACGUCAAGUCAUCAUGCCCCUUAUGACCUGGGCUACACACGUGCUACAAUGGGCAGUACAACGAGGAGCGAACUUGUGAAGGCAAGCGAAUCUCUGAAAGCUGUUCUCAGUUCGGACUGUAGGCUGCAACUCGCCUACACGAAGCUGGAAUCGCUAGUAAUCGCGGAUCAGCACGCCGCGGUGA
rnacentral:rRNA from 1 species